AAUUAAUUAUUAUUAACGGCUAUUAUUUUUUAUUAUAAUUACUAUUACCAAUAAUCAAUCAUUACUUAUUAUUACCAUUAACUAUUACCAACUAGGGCUGUUAAUUAUUACUCACCAUUAAUUAUUAUUAGCAAUUAUUAGGAGUAUUUGCUGAUUGUUAAUUAUUGUGAACGGUUAAUGAUCAUUAGCGGUUAUUAACGAUCCCCCCGGUGGCCCACGCGCGAUUUCGGCUCGGGGUUUGUUCCAUUCCCGCCCAGAAUUCCCGGGUUUUUCCCAUUUUUUUCCCGUUUUUCCCAUUUUUUCCCGUUUUUUCCCCGUUUUUUCCCUGCCCAGGUCGGUGACCCGCAGUUACUACCGGGGGGCCGCGGGGGCGCUGCUCGUCUAUGACAUCACCAGCCGGGAGACGUACAACGCGCUGGCGCAGUGGCUGACGGACGCCCGCACCUUGGCCAGCCCCAACAUCGUCAUCAUCCUCUGCGGCAACAAGAAGGACCUGGAGGGCGAGCGGGAGGUGACGUUCCUGGAGGCCUCGCGCUUCGCCCAGGAGAACGGUCCGGGAAAAACGGGAAAAACGGAAAAAAACGGG